rnacentral:rRNA from 1 species
UGAGGAAUAUUGGUCAAUGGGCGAGAGCCGUGAACCAGCCAAGUCGCGGUGAGGGAAGACGGUCCUACGGAUUGUAAACCUCUUUUGUCGGGGGAGCAAUAAAGCGUACGCGUACGCAGAUGCGAGUACCCGAAGAAAAAGCAUCGGCUAACUCCGUGCC